rnacentral:rRNA from 1 species
UACGUAGGGUGCGAGCGUUGUUCGGAAUCACUGGGCGUAAAGGGCGCGUAGGCGGCCCGCACAAGUCUGCGGUGAAAACCCCCGGCUUAACCGGGGGCCGGCCGUGGAAACUGUUGGGCUGGAGGCUGGGAGAGGGCAGCGGAAUUCCCGGUGUAGCGGUGAAAUGCGUAGAUAUCUGGAGGAACACCGGUGGCGAAGGCGGCAUCCUGGACCGGCAUUGACGCUGAGGCGCGAAAGCCAGGGGAGCAAACGGG